rnacentral:rRNA from 1 species
UACGAAGGGGGCUAGCGUUGCUCGGAAUUACUGGGCGUAAAGCGCACGUAGGCGGCUUUCUAAGUCGGGGGUGAAAUCCUGGAGCUCAACUCCAGAACUGCCUUUGAUACUGGGGAUCUCGAGUCCGGGAGAGGUGAGUGGAACUCCGAGUGUAGAGGUGAAAUUCGUAGAUAUUCGGAAGAACACCAGUGGCGAAGGCGGUUCUCUGGGCCUUACCUGACGCUGAGGAGCGAAAGCGUGGGGAGCGAACAGG